CGCAUUGUUUCUCUCAUCCUUCUGAGUUGGAGCAGUGAAACAAUGCCUCUGGAUCCUCGCCCAGGAGGAUCUAACACAAAACAGGAAAAAACUGCUAUUUCUGCUCCACAGAUUUUAGC
rnacentral:lncRNA from 1 species